rnacentral:rRNA from 1 species
UACGAAGGGGGCUAGCGUUGUUCGGAAUUACUGGGCGUAAAGCGUGCGCAGGCGGCUUCUCAAGUCAGGGGUGAAAGCCCAGAGCUCAACUCUGGAAUUGCCUUUGAGACUGAGUGGCUUGAGUACGAGAGAGGUGAGUGGAAUUCCCAGUGUAGAGGUGAAAUUCGUAGAUAUUCGCAAGAACACCAGUGGCGAAGGCGGCUCACUGGCCCGAUACUGACGCUGAGGUGCGAAAGCGUGGGGAGCAAACAGG